rnacentral:rRNA from 1 species
AACACCUGUACCUUUCGCAUCAUGAUUUAGCAAGAACCCUCAGACAAAGAGAACUUUAGUCUGCACACCCGAAACCAGACGAGCUACCGCAGGGCAACAAAUAAGAGUGAACCCGUCUCUGUAGCAAAAGAGUGGGAAGACCUUACGGUAGAGGUGAAAAGCCAAACGAGCCUGGUGAUAGCUGGUUGCUCAAUAAACGAAUUUAAGUUCAACUUUAGGUUAAUAAACUAAACUAAAAAGUCAAUCACAACCUAAAAGCUAUUUAAUAGGGGUACAGCCCUAUUAAACCAGGAUACAACCUGAACUUGAGAGAAAGGAAAAACAUUUUUACACCGUGGGCCUUAAAGCAGCCACCAAUAAAGAUAACGUCACAGCACACAUAACACUAAAUACCACAAACUAUAAACCCACUCCAAGCAAAACACUGAGCUAAACUAUACCUAUAGAAAAACUAAUGCUAAAACUAGUAACAAGAAUUACUCUCUACGCACACCCUUGACCCAGAAAUAGAAAAACUACUGGACGUUAACAGACCAUAGCAGGAAAAACAGACCGCCUGUCCCAUAAACUGUCAAUCCAACACAGGGGUGCCACUAAGACAGAUUAAAAGUUAUAUAAGGAACUCAGCAAAACUUAUCCCAACUGUUUACCAAAAACAUAGCCUUUAGCUAAACAAGUAUUAAAGGUCCUGCCUGCCCAGUGAUUUUUUAAACGGCCGCGGUAUUCUAACCGUGCAAAGGUAGCGUAAUCACUUGUCUUUUAAAUAAAGACCUGUAUGAACGGCUAAAUGAGGAUAAACCUGUCUCUUAUAACCAAUCAGUGAAACUGAUCUUCCAGUACAAAAGCUGGAAUAAUAACAUAAGACGAGAAGACCCUGUGGAGCUUAAAACAAACCACUAAACAGACACCACCUGAUUUAGCGCACGUUUUCAGUUGGGGCGACUUCGGAAUAAAAAAUAACUUCCGAGCACAGAGCUACAACCUCUAACCGAGGCUAACAAGCCAAAGCACCAAAAUAUAGACCCGGCCUAGCCGAUCAACGAACCAAGUUACCCCAGGGAUAACAGCGCAAUCUUCUUCGAGAGCCCCUAUCAACAAGAAGGUUUACGACCUCGAUGUUGGAUCAGGACACCCAAAUGGUGCAGCCGCUAUUAAAGGUUCGUUUGUUCAACGAUUAACAGUCCUACGUGAUCUG